ensembl:lncRNA
AUCUCUUCCUGGAGAUCCCUCCUUGGUGAAGCUUUCCCCUGCAAACCUGGAAUCUUCUGAUACCGGCUGUGGAGGCUCAGAUCCUUUCUACUGCAAAGCAGGGAGCUGAUAAUCCUCUGCAGGGUCAUCCAAGCUGCUGAAGUGCCAGGCUUUGGCUGCUCCCUCGGUUCCCAUGAGUGCAGGUUGAAGACUUGAAAAUGAAGUCUGACAUCUUGAAGACCAAGAUCAUCUCUGGAAGUGUAGCCAAAAGAUGCUAUAGUUGCAAGUUCACUGACUUGUGUAACAAUACAUUUUCUUGUAUUUGAGUAACAAUGCUGCAAUUAGCUUUCUUCAUAGUCAGUUGAAUAAUUUCUUUUUAGUAUUAAGCAAACCAAACUUUCAAGGAUGCUGUUCUGUUCUCUCCUGAAUGAGAAGUUGAGUGUGCCAGCAGAAUUUCAGUUAAUUGGCAGCAUUUAGCUCCUGAGCUACUGCAGGUCAUCUUACUGGCCAGACCUUGUGUUGCAUUUGGAGCCAAUGGCAGGUGGUAGCCUCAUCCUCCAGACCAGGGGCUCUUGGUGGUGCCAUCAGCACGCCCUCAGCAGGCACUACAUUUCCUUCCAAAGAAGACCAGCUGGGACAAGUGUUCCUGUGCAUACUUUUCAGCUUGCCUGCAGAGCAAAGACCCAUGGGCUGUGUUGUGUUUUGAGUCCUACUGCACAUGUUUGAGGAGGUACCCAAGUGGUAGAGCCUACUGUAUCUUCAUGCUAUACUUUGUCUUCAAGGCUUAUGUCUUUGUUCUGUCUUUCAACCAGAACAUGCAAACCAUGUCUUAUGGUUUUGGGUGUAACGUUGAGAAGCACAAGAGGAGAUACCGAUGGCAAACUGUUUGGCUAGUUUGGACAUUAAAACAUUUUUUUUUUCUGCAUAUGUGGUACAAUUUUUCUUUCCUUGAGCUCUGGCCUUGGCUGAGCAAGUGGAGUAGUCUUUGGAAAGUGGAUUUAGAAACCCCACUGGUAAAUUGUAAUUGUAAAUUCUUUGCCAGUGUGGUCUCUUUUUGCUAUACAAAGCUGAGAGGGGAGCUGGUAUUGCGAUCUAGAUGCAUCAGCACUCUCUGCUGCUUGCACUGAAGAAAACUUCCUGCAGAUGACUGUAGCAUGAGUGAUCUGUGGGGCAGCCAGCUGGGGGCAUAUGUCUUUGUCUGUCAUCUUUACCCACCAACUAUUACUAUUCUAAAAAUCCAUGAGCUGUUCCUCUGUGGGUUCAGAAGGGAUCAGUUUGUGGUUAUGUUUACUUCCGGGUAAGUGCAGGUGAAACUCUAGGUACAGCAUUUAGUUUAGCCUGCUUGAAAUAUCAGCCUUAAGGACCAUGGCAGAGGUUGAAAAUACAUGGAGGUAUAUAGUUACUUGAUUUAAAGACUCUUAAAAAGAAGUGGGGGUGGGGGGAACCCCACCCUUGUCUUUGUUUAUUUUCUGGCAGUUCUUUCAGUCUGAGUUGGACCAGUGCUGCUUCGUUGAUCCAUAUGAAGCUUGCUGAGCCGUAUAAAGACCCUGCUGUCAUAUUCCUGUCAGAUACUCUGUCAUGUGUUUCUGCCCAACUAGUAAAAUGUCAUGCACAACAGAGCCUUUCCUACAUGGAAUAGCCUUGGGCAAAUGCACUCUACUAGUGCCUAACAGCCCAUGGGAUCUAAUCUCUGCUCCCUUACUGACUGUUCGUAACCUUUCUGUGCACUUCAAGACUCUUCAGAUUAAUCCUUUCUCAUACAAUCAUAGCAAAUAAGAACUUGAAGUGAGCACCAGCCAGGGCUGGGCCUGGGGACCCAGGUGUCUGCUAUGAUAAACCUACAUUUCACUCACUUUUCCACAUUGUUUUGAGGAAGCAAUGUGUCUGUGAUGACUGAACCACAGGGAAAGGUUUAAUGUGCUGUUGCUUUCU